rnacentral:lncRNA from 1 species
AUGAAGGAAAAAAGGAAGGGAGAGGAAGGAAGGAAGGGAGGGAGGGAGAGAGGAAGGGAUGAAGGAAAAAAGGAAGGGAGAGGAAGGAAGGAAGGAAGGGAGGGAGGGAGAGAGAGAGGAAGGAAGGAAGGGAGAGAGGAAGGGAUGAAGGAAAAAAGGAAGGGAGAGGAAGGAAGGAAGGAAGGAAAAAAGAAGGAGGGAGGAAGAAAGAAAGGGAGGAAGGAAAAAUGGAAGGGAGGGAGAGGAAGGAAGCAAAGAAGGAAGGAAGGAAAAAAGGAAGGGAGGGAAGGAGGUAGGAAAGAAAGAAAAGGGAAGGGAGGAGAGAGAGAGAGAGAGACAAAGUUUAUUAAGUGCUUACGGUGUGCCAAAGACUGUGCUGAAUGUUUGGAAUAUAAAUAGCAAACCAAGACAGUCCAUGUUCUAGAGGAGCUCAUAUUCUAAUUGGGGAAACAACACAUAUAGGCAGGUUCAGCUGCAGGGAAGAUGGAAAGUCCCAGAGGUGGGAAAUGGGAUGUUGUGUGUGAGAAGCAGAAAGUAGGUCAGUUCACUGAGAUGGUAGAGUUCGAGAAAGGAAGGAAUGUGUUAGAAGCCUGAAAAGGCAGUGCUAAAGGACUUUAAAUGACAAACAGUGACAUUUGUUUUUGAUCCUGGAGGUAAGAGGGAGCCAUUGGAACUUCUAGAGUAGGGGAGUGCCAUGUCAGACCUUGGUUUUACCAAGAAUACCACUCUGGCUGCUGGGGGCAGGAUAACUGUAGAACCUGUGGGGUCUGAAAGAGGCAAAGGAUGGGGAGGGGAGAUCCAGAAAGACUUCUAGUUGAGGGGCUAGCUCCCCCUCUGCCUGGCACUGAGAUAUCCUGCCCCUGCCCACAGAAGCCUUCCUUCCUCCCUCUCAGAGCGAAGCCCGGCCUGCAGAAGCCAUGUCCCUGGCCUAGCUCUUCUGAUGAAAGCUGUCUGGAUGGUCUGGAUUCUGCUCUCCCAGCCUGCCUCUCUCCCUUGCUUUGUGCCAAGUACUCUUCAGUUCUCCACUAGCCCACCUCCGGGCAUCUUCCAUCUACUUGGCCCAGUCAAAGCUUGCUCCCCCUCCUUCCCUCCUUCCUCCUGGGCCUCGUCUCCUUUUACGCUCUCCCCAUUCAGAGAUUCACAAUCCACAAUACAUCCAUUUUCUUGUUAAAGGUAUAGCCAGCCCAGUCCAGGGCAGUCCCCAAGGACUUCCAUUGACAACACUUCAAUAUCUUCAAGACCCCACAUUUACAUUUCAACCCAGAAAGCUUGGGGAGCUGUAAGAUUUACAGCUGCUCUAAGGAAAGGGACAUCUUGCUACAGGGGCUUAAGAUGGAAAAUUCUUUCUGUGUUGUAAACCCAUUCACUGCCUCCAGAACCACAGCACUCCCCCUCUUCC